GUGGGGAAUCUUCCGCAAUGGACGAAAGUCUGACGGAGCGACGCCGCGUGAGUGAUGAAGGCCCUUGGGUCGUAAAGCUCUGUCAUCAGGGACGAACGGUCACGUCAGGAAAUGGGCGUGAAUUGACGGUACCUGAGAAGGAAGCCACGGCUAACUACGUGCCAGCAGCCGCGGUAAUACGUAGGUGGCGAGCGUUGUCCGGAAUUAUUGGGCGUAAAGCGCGCGCAGGUGGGAUCUUAAGUCUGUUCUGAAAGUUCGGAGCUUAACUCCGUGAUGGGAUGGAAACUGGGAUUCUUGAGUAUCGGAGAGGAAAGCGGAAUUCCCCGUGUAGCGGUGAAAUGCGUAGAUAUGGGGAGGAACACCAGUGGCGAAGGCGGCUUUCUGGACGAUGUCUGACACUGAGGCGCGAAAGCCAGGGGAGCGAACGGGAUUAGAUACCCCUGUAGUCC
rnacentral:rRNA from 1 species